GCCACACUGGGACUGAGACACGGCCCAAACUCCUACGGGAGGCAGCAGUAGGGAAUCUUCCACAAUGGACGAAAGUCUGAUGGAGCAACGCCGCGUGAACGAUGAAGGCUUUCGGGUCGUAAAGUUCUGUUGUAAGGGAAGAACAAGUGCCGCAGGCAAUGGCGGCACCUUGACGGUACCUUGCGAGAAAGCCACGGCUAACUACGUGCCAGCAGCCGCGGUAAUACGUAGGUGGCAAGCGUUGUCCGGAAUUAUUGGGCGUAAAGCGCGCGCAGGCGGCCUCUUAAGUCUGAUGUGAAAGCCCCCGGCUCAACCGGGGAGGGCCAUUGGAAACUGGGAGGCUUGAGUAUAGGAGAGAAGAGUGGAAUUCCACGUGUAGCGGUGAAAUGCGUAGAGAUGUGGAGGAACACCAGUGGCGAAGGCGACUCUUUGGCCUAUAACUGACGCUGAGGCGCGAAAGCGUGGGGAGCAAACAGGAUUAGAUACCCUGGUAGUCCACGCCGUAAACGAUGAGUGCUAGGUGUUGGAGGGUUUCCGCCCUUCAGUGCUGAAGCUAACGCAUUAAGCACUCCGCCUGGGGAGUACGGUCGCAAGGCUG
rnacentral:rRNA from 1 species